GACGUAGGGGGCCAGCGUUGCUCGGAAUUACUGGGCGUAAAGGGUCCGUAGGCGGUGCGGUAAGUCGGGAGUGAAAUCUCUGGGCUUAACUCAGAGGCUGCUUCCGAAACUACCGUGCUAGAGUGCGAGAGAGGCAAGUGGAAUUGCGGGUGUAGCGGUGAAAUGCGUAGAUAUCCGCAGGAACAUCCGAGGCGAAAGCGGCUUGCUGGAUCGCAACUGACGUGAGGGACGAAAGCUAGGGGAGCAAACAGG
rnacentral:rRNA from 1 species